AUGGCUGAACCAACUGGUCUUGCCGAGGCUUUGGAGAAGCUCGCUAAGAUCCUCGCGGAGUCCAACUCUGGGGCCAUCGUUCCUCGACAGGAAGUGGCUCAAAAGCUUGAAAUGUCGCCCCUGGACAUGAAGCUAGAGGGGGCAACAAAUUAUUUGAGCUGGUCCAGAAGGGCUUUGUGGGCUGUGGAGCAGAAGGAGCUUGAUGGAUAUUUGUUGGGCACCGUUGUAGAACCAAGGGACACGAGUAGUGCAGAGGGCAAGAGGUGGAAGGUCAUCCACUCUGUACUUAUGGUGUGGUUGUUGAACUCCGUGGUGCCCUCCAUUGGACGCUCUGUGGAGGGGCUAUCCUCACCUGCUGAGAUAUGGAAGAUUCUGUCCACUCAAUACUCUGGCAAGGGCAAUGUCAUGCUCAUUGCUCAGAUUGAGGACAAGAUUAGGUUGCUGCGUCAAGAUGAUGGCAUGUCAGUGAUGACAUACGUGGCAGAACUGCAGGCUCUGUGGGCUGACCAGGAUAACUGUGAUCCCUUGGAACUCUAUGAUGCGGCUUCAAUCGAGUCAGGGCAUAAGUGGAUGGCACGCAGGCGUGUGCUGAAAUUUUUGGCUGGCCUCAAAGGUUGCUUUGAUGGCAGGAAGGCUUCCCUGUUGCACCAACCUAGUCUGCCUACCAUUCCUGAGGCUAUUGCAGCGAUGACUCAAGAGGAGGUGCGCCUAUCCCUUGAGCAUGCAAACAUGAAGGUUGUGCCAGCUUCGACAUUUGCAGUCACUGAGCGCAUGGAGUGGGGAGAUCCCACCAAAUGUCAUAUCUGUGGGGAGGUAGGUCACUGGAAGAGAGAAUGUCCAACUCGUGGCAGAGGCAGGGGAUAUAACAGAGGGGGAGCAGGCAGAGGUAGAAGUGCUAGAGGCAGAGGUGGAUACUCAGAGACCUCAUGGAGCCAGGCUUCUAGAGGUAGAGGUGGCUACUCAGGACACUCAGGGGGUCAGAGGGCUCACAUGGCCGUUGCAGGAGACACUGGGACGUCCAAAGGCAAAGAUGUAGAUGAUGUUGCCUAUGGAGACUUUGCUCACUGGGCCUCCACUGAUGAAGGAGCGACAGACGAGCCAGACGGUUGGGACUGGCACCAGGCGUAG
rnacentral:rRNA from 1 species